rnacentral:lncRNA from 1 species
AAAUAAUGAACAAUAAAAUAAUGAACAAUAAAAUAAUGAAUAAUAAAAUAAUGAACAAUAAAAUAAUGAACAACAAAAUACUUAAUAGUAAAAAUUUUAAACUACAAAAAAAAAAUUUAUUAAAACAAUGUUAAAAAAAAAAGAACGUCAUAAAAUAAGCAUUAUCGUUCUAAAUUAGCGUAACCAUAAGGAAACAAAACGUUUCAAAAAAUGUGGUACAUUUAUAAGUAAAAUUAUAUAAGUUUUUUUAUUUUUUUGUACUUUUUGUUUUCUCCCUUGUUCGCAUCUUAUUUUUCUCUCGCUUUUAUUUUUAUUUUUUUUUUAUUUUUAUUUUUUUUGUUUUUAAUUUGUGUUAAAAAACAUACGUUAUAAUUUACAAAAACAAAAUGUUUAGUAAACUUAUGUUUUAUAGAAAACUUUGAAAUUUUUCAGAAAAAAAAAAAAAAAAAAAAAAUGAUAUCUUCUUUUUUAUUGAAGAGAAAAGUAGUUGGUAAUUAAAAAAAAAACGAAACAAAUAUAUACAUGUAUAUGUGUGUAUAUAUUAAACAGAUAGAGUGUACUUAUAUGUGUAAGACUAUUAUAUGUGUACAUUUUUUUUUGUAUGUAAGAAGCUACACGCCAACUUGUUACAUAAAAUGUAUAUAUAAAUACUCAAAUGAAUGGUUAUAUACAUCAUUUACAAUUAUCAACAGAAAAUAUCUGUAAGAACAUGUUUAGAAUGUUAGGUAAACGUAACUUACAUGACAAAACAUAUAUAGAACAAACAAACAUAUAUGAUAACUAUGAAAUAUUAAAAAAAUUUAAAAACAAGAACACGUUGAAAUAUUCGUUGAAAAAAUUUAGAGAAAUAGUUCAAAAAGAAACCCAAAAAAAGGCUUAUAAUUUUUAUAAAGGAUGGCCACCAAGAGACAGAAUAAAAAUUACAGAUGACGAAAAGCUUGGGUUGUAUGGGAGAAAAUUAUUUAUAUUUAACCGAGUAAAAGGACUUAAAGAAAGCGAGCCCAAUUUAUGUAUAUGUUGUAAAAACAAAGGUGUUCUACUUUUUAAUAGAUCAGAAUUUGAAGCACUAUUAAAAAACAUGAACACUAUAAAACAUAAUUUACAAGAAUUUGCUAAAAAAAUUUAAUAAUAAUAUAUAUGUAUAUAUAAUGCUUUAUAGAAUAUAGAUUUACAUAUUUUUAGAGUUUAUAAGAGAUAUAUGAUGUGUUAGUCUCUUUUAGAUAAGUUUGUAAUACCUUUCUAAAAAUUAAAAGGCAUUGUAUUAUAUACAUAAACAUAUAUGUAUAUAUAUACAUAUAUAUAUAUAUGACACAUUUCUAUGUUCAUAGAUAAAUGCUUAUUUUGUUUUUAAGAAACUUAUAAAAAUCAUUCGUUACUACUAUGUUGUUUAUCUAUUAUUGUUUUCAUUUUUUAAAUUAAAUAUUUCCUUUUUUUUUUCUUUUUACUUCCACACUUAUUACAUACUAUUUAUUACCAUAUAUAUAUACAUAUAUAUAUAUAAUA